GACGAACGCUGGCGGCGUGCCUAACACAUGCAAGUCGAACGGGGUAAUUACUUCGGUGAUCACUUAGUGGCGAACGGGUGAGUAACGCGUGAGAAACCUGCCUUUCAGUGGGGGACAACAGUUGGAAACGACUGCUAAUACCGCAUAAUGUUAUUUGAGGGCAUCCUCGAAUAACCAAAGCUUUAUGUGCUGAAAGAUGGUCUCGCGUCUGAUUAGCUAGUUGGUGAGGUAACGGCUCACCAAGGCGACGAUCAGUAGCCGGUCUGAGAGGAUGAACGGCCACAUUGGGACUGAGAUACGGCCCAG
rnacentral:rRNA from 1 species